CCUGCUCUCAGACUGCUUCCAGCUACUGCUGCCGUCUGGGGAGGCCACGUUUCGUAUCUCACCGUGGUCAACGCAAUCCUCUAGGUAAUACCUUUCCCUUCCUCUCUCCCCUCCUUUCCCAGGAGCUGGAACGAAAUGUAUUUCAUGUGACUAUGUCCCGGCCCCUCUAUGCUCCAUUUACUUUAGCACAAACAUACUGUACUGGCCGAAAAUAUUUUGCAAAUACGGCCAGCAGCAUCGCCGGGAAGCGUUCGAAUUUUUAUAUGUUGGUGUUGCUUUUUAAUUGCCUUCGUUUAACUGGGCACAAGAUUUCGCUAUCUAAUGUCUCAGGAACACAAUGAUCCUCCCAGGGGAGAAGGGGGGAGAGGGAGGAAGAACUGCAAAAUAUAAAUGAAGGUUACAUGGCGUGGAGAAAUGGAACGCGGUAUUUCACUUUGUGUUAAGCACCACUCCAGCACCUGUAAUUAACUGCAAAUCACUAGGUGGAAGUCAAUCCUCCUACUUUAUUAAACUGGGCAUGUUUUACCUCAAUAGCAGAGAGUGUGUUCAUAGCCCUAGCAGGAACUAGCUAAAUCUGUGAGAUUCUCCCCGCAAGCGCCUGUGAUCCAUAGCCUCCAGCACGUCAAAACGACUAAUGCCCCUUCUGUUUAUCACGAAACCUCACAGUACUGUUCCAAUAUUAAUGCAAAAUUCAGAUGUUUUUGGCAAUAUCUCUGGACACACUAUAAACUGGUCCAAAUCGGAGUUGGUGUUAAUAGGAAAUAACUUUUUGGUUCAACAGUUUAAACAAUGCCAAUUUCAUAUUUCCAAGAACAACGUUAAAUAUCUAGACAUACUGUUUGCCAUGGACAAAUUCAAUGAUAUUUGGAAUCCAUUCUUACAAAUACAAAUGUAAUAGGUUAAGAUCUGGUGAACUACAAUAAAUACCUUGUAAAGUACACAGUUUUGGGGUUUUUCCCCCUCCCCACUUUAAUUUCCCUCCUACAGUUGUACCUCUGGUUAUGAACUUAAUUCCUUCCGGAGGUCCGUUGUUAACCUGAAACCGUUCUUAAGCUGAGAUACCACUUUAGCUAAUGGGGCCUCCCACUGGCGCCACACCACCGCCACAUGAUUUCUGUUCUCAUCCUGAGGUAAAGUUCUUAACCCGAGGUACUACUUCUGGGUUAGCGGAGUCUAUAACCCGAAGCGUUUGUAACCCGAGGUGUUCGUAACCCGAGGUACCACUGUACACGGAUUCUGUUUCUUUUUUUUCUUUCUGUCUUUUAUUUACGUCUCACAAUGUUUCGUGCACAUAUAAUUAUGUACUUUCUGAACUUUCGAUAAAGAUGUUUAAAAACUAAACAAAAAUAUUUUUAAGACUAAUGCUUCUCAAGUUCUAGUCAUUAUUUUUUUAAAAAAAGAGAUAGCUGCUGAAAUAUGCUAACAAAUGUCACUGCACACCAAAUGUCAUAUGUAAUAAUGUGCUCUUUCUCUCCAAUUGGCGAGAAGCUGACAGUGGCAUCUGGGAGCUGGAUUUCCUAGAAAGUGUCAUAAAGCAUGGUUGCUUCCACACAUCUCCAUGAGGCUGAGGUAUCUUCUUCACAAACUCUGUUGGGAUGAGGCCGAGCCUCCACAAUUGUGUGCAGCACUUCACAGCGGUGGCGGCAAGCCUCGUCAGACCUUGCAGCGGUGGUGGCAAGCUUUGCCAGACCUCGUGGCAGCAGCAGCAAGCCUCACUGGUCCUCGCAGAAGUGGCAGCAGUGGGCUUCGAUGGGCCUCGCAGGGGUGGCAGCGGACCUCGAUGGGCCUUGCAGUGGUGGUGGCAAGCCUUGCAGGGCCUCGUGGCAACAGCAGGCCUUGCCGGACUUCCUCCCAGGGGUGGAAGAAGGGGGUGCGGUAGGGGCAGUCCACCCCAGGUGUCACCACAGAGAGGGGUGACAAAAUGCCGGGAGGCAAUCACCACAGGGCCUGCAGUGCGCCCGAGCCACACAUCUCUCCUGGGAGUGACAUGGUGGCUUGGGCGCCCGCAGGCUCCACGCUGCCCCAAAUGGUCCACCUGCCUCCUCCCUCUCAGCUAUAGGGCGGCUGAGUGGGAGGAGGCAGGCAGACUCCUCGGAGGCCCUAGGGAGCGUCCUGCCCCAGUUCGCCCCACCCUGUGGGCAGCUGGCUCUGCCCCUGGGUGCAGGGCACACGCACCGCCCCUGGCGCCCGAUCGGCUUGCUCCGCCACUGGUUCCUCCCACUACUAGUCUCCUCCCAAUGCACAAUGCGCAUGACGUCUCAUGUGCAUGAUGAGCCCCCUCAUUGUUGGAUGCAAGUUGGCACCUCUGCCUCCACGCUAGUGAUGUCACAACUUUUCAUGAUGAACUGAAAGCUGGAUUUUAAUUUCCUGUAACACUUAAUAUACGAUAUUAUCGGGCCAAACCAACCUUGAUGGUCGAGAUCUUUCUAUAAUGUGUACUCAAGCAUAUGUCUCAGUCAGCGAAGAUCCUCUUCAACUUGAAUUAGAAGCUUCCUCUUCGUGGCUUCAAACUCUAAUUGUUUAAUCUUCACAAUAUAAGGGCUUAUAUAAGGGAUGCGGGUGGCACUGUGGUCUAAACCACUGAGCCUCUUGGGCUUGCCGAGAAGGUCAGCGGUUCGAAUCCCUGUGAUGGGGUGAGCUCCCAUUGCUCUGUCCCAGCUCCUGCCAACCUAGCAUUUCCAUUGACCGAUUGCCUAAAAAAAAAGCUCAGCAACUGAGUAUUAGUUCUAGAAAUAUGGCAACCCAAAGGAAACAGUGUGUGUUAGAACUUGCCACUGGCUGCAGCUGUUCAGAUGGUUCAGAUCCAUUGUCAUAUGUGUAUAGUGGCACAUUUCCUGAACUUUGAUGACCACCUUGUCUAGGUCUUUGCCUACAACUAAUCCAGAAUGUGGCAGCUGGACUGGUGACCAGGAGUGGCCACCAAGACCACAUAACACUGGUCCUGAAAUACCUACAUUGACUCCCAGUACGUUUCCGGGCACAAUUCAAAGUGUUGGUGCUGACCUUUAAAGCCCUAAAUGGCCUCAGCCCAGUAUACUUGAAGGAGCGUCUCCAGCACAACGUUCUGCCCAGACACUGAGAUCCAGCUCCAAGGUCCUUCUGGCGGUUCCCCCCCAUCAGAAGUGAGGUUACAAGGAACCAGGCAGAGGGCCUUCUUGGUAGUGGCACCCGCCUCGUGGAACUCCCUCCCACCAGAUGUCAAGGAAAUAAACAACAUUCUGACUUUUAGAAGUUGAGGGAAGUUUUUAAUGUUUGAUGUUUUAUCAUGUGUCAGAGCUGGCUCCAGGUCCCAGCUCACAGAGGACCAACGCUAGCCGGCAGUAAUGUACAAAAGUCUUUAUUGAAGUACAGUUUCCAUUUUCAAGCCGCAGCGCCCCAGCUCUACGUCUAGGGGUUAGAUCGGCGAAGCUCCAUCUGAGUCUCCGCCCCUGUACACCAGUUUAAGAUUCUAGCCUUACUCCACCUCUUACGUCUCUCCUUUCUCCUCUGGGUCCUGCUACCCCCCGGGGUCCCUUCCUUCCUGGAUUCUUCUGACGCUGACGUUGAGCCCCCUGACUCCUCCCCCUCUUUGCGGCGGGCUUUGGGACCUGGCUCCCUAUCCGGGCUGCCAACUGCGCCGCCCUCCUGUACAUUUGAACUUGGCGCGCGCGCCCAGCCUUCAACCUUCCUCUCGACCGUUUCCUCGCUCCCCGAUGGAGGCGUGGCCAAUCCUGACUCAUGUCCUCCCACUGGCAGUGCGCCGCCUGAUCCCGAUGCCUGGGACCCCUCCCCCCUACUGCACUCUGGUGUGGACGCUGGUCCUGAUUUCCAACUGCUGCUCUCUGAGUCCCCUCUGGCCCCUUCUUCCUGGGGUGUCCCCUCGGCACCCCCUUGCUCUGACCAAGGGAGCCCCUUUCUGUGAAUCUUCCGAUUCGCUGGAAAGACUCAGAGACCUCGGACCGCUGUCAUCGCUAACAUUUCCUUCGGACUCCUCCCCUCGCUCUCUAUUUCCUCCCUUUCCUGUGCCUCUGCUCCUGAACCCCUGACAUCCAUCCCCCCCUCGAAUCCCCCCCCUACCCCCGCCCCUCCUUCAGGUGUGGGUACUGGGCGCUCCGUCGUUGUGGGGGUGAGUGCCGGAUACAGUUCGUCCCCCCGGGCGUGCAUCCAGCCGGAUAAGUCCGGCUCGUCCUCCGUGCUCUCGCCGACCUCAAUUUCCUCUGCUUCCAUCUCUUUGCCGCCGUGCUCGAACCCAAGGUCCUCCCCAACACGUCCAUGUCCGUCUCUCCCCGGUCUCCUCCGGGGACGUUGCCUGCCAAGGACCCCCCAGCCACUUCCUGCGCCACUGCUCCUCUGGUCGAUUGUCCCACCAAUAGGAACGGUCUGAGGCAGACCCCGAGGGUGAUCCCUCCGGGGAACGUGUUUCUAGUGCCGGUUCCUCGUCCGAGGUGAACCCCUGGAAUGUGCUAGCUGAAAAUGUGGGUGUGAAAAGCCAGUCGUCGAAAUACUCGGCUGGCAUGGGCCUGUGUGGGAAAAGGGCAUGAAACUCGUCCUUGAGAAAAGGUUCGUCCAAGGCAUGGUCUGGCACCCAACUGUUGGCGCUGGCCGGGGUACCUUCUCUGGCGAGAAGAUAUUCUACUCCCUCUUCCCCCCAUCUCGAGUCUAAAAUCUCUGUGACUUCGUUGACGGGUUCCCGCCUUGGCGACCCCCUUGUGGGCGUUUCCCUGAACGGGUCUGGUGCCGUUCCUGGCUCCUGAAAUCUAUGAGGUGCUUUGUAGGGCGUGAGCACUGAUCUAUGGAAAACUGGGUGCAUUCUGGAUCCCUCCGGCAGUGUCAACCGGAAGGCCACUGGAUUGACCUGUGCCUCGACUUGGUAGGGUCCUAGCUGCUUAUGCCCUAGCUUCUUCUUCGCUAACGAUCUGGCCGGCACUGCCUGGGCUGCUAACCAAACCCAGUCUCCCACCUGUAUGUCUUCCCCAACCCUUCUGUGCUUGUCAGCCUGCAGUUUGUAUGCGUGCUUUGCUAGUUCUAACUGCCUCCGAAGCUGUUCGUGAACCUCCUGCAACUCUGAUGCUAAGGCUUCCGCUGCCUGUGGCUCCCCUCCCCCGCUCUCGCUAAUCCCGGGAAGGUUCUGGGAUGCCUCCCGUUGUUGGCGAAGAACGGUGUCACCCCCGUGGACACGUGCUUCGUGUUGUUGUAGGCGAACUCAGCGAGCGGCAGGUAGUCCACCCAUGUUGCCGGCUGCUGAUUUGCGUAGCAUCGCAGGUACUGCUGCAUGAUGGCGUUGACUCGCUCCGCUUGUCCGUUCGUCUGCGGGUGUCUCGCCGACGCUAGGUUGAUCUUGACGUUCAGGAAACCCAUCAGCUUCUGCCAGAAGUUCGAGAUGAACUGUCGCCCCGGUCGGACAGGAUAGACCGUGGCAGACCGUGAACCCUGAACACGUGGUCUAUGAACAGUUUGGCGGUCUGUUCCGCCGUGGCCACCUUCGCGCACGGAAUGAAGUGGGCCAUUUUGGUGAACAUGUCCACCACCACUAGCACUGCCGUCUUGCCCCUCGAGCUGGGUAGAUCCGUGACAAAGUCCAGGGCCACCCUCUCCCACGGUUCGAGCGGUGUCUGCAGCGGUUCGAGCAGUCCCGCCGGCGGUUUGUGCACUGACUUGGCCCUUUGGCAGGUGUCGCACCUCGAGACGUAAUCCGCGACUUCCCCCCCCGCAUCUUGGGCCACCAAAAAUCUCUGGCUACUAAUUCUACCGUCUUCUCUUUGCCAAAGUGCCCGGCGGUGGGUGCGUCGUGCAACUGCUGCAGUACUUUCGCGCGGAGGUCGUCUCCCGGUACGUAGAGGGCCCCUCUGCGGAUGAGCAAUCCGUCGCGUAUCUGGAACUCGUCGUCCUCCGCCGUGCCCCUUUGCACCUCUGCCAUCUUUGCUUGCGCGAAGGGGUCCUCCUGCAGUGCUCGACGUACAGCAUCCAGGUCCACGGUUGCUGAAGCGCACGCCCACGCUUUCGGUGCGAAAAUGUGCUUGGCCGCUGCUGGUGCCGCCUCCUCGAGGUAUUGCGGCUUUCUGGACAGUGCAUCCGCCAUGAUGUUGUUGUCGCCUGGGAUGUACUCUAUCCUGAAGUCGAAAUCCGCAAAGAACUCCGCCCAUCGUAUGUGCCUCUGGUUCAGGAACCUUGCCGUGCGCCAGUACUCCAGGUUUUUAUGGUCCGUGCGGACCUGCACUGUGUGUUUGGCUCCAAUGAGGAAGUGCCGCCACGCCUUGAAUGCUGCAUGAAUGGCCAGCAACUCCCUGUCCCAGAUGGUGUAGUUCUGCUCUGACUUGCUGAGCUUCCUGGAGUAGAAGGCACACGGUCUCCAGUCCCCAUGCGGGUCUUGCUGCAACAGUACUGCUCCCACGGCUCUGUCUGAGGCGUCCGUUUCAACCCUCAUCGGUCUGCUGGGAUUCACAUGCAGUAGCUGCUCUUCGGACGAGAAGAGACGCUUGAGUUUCUGAAAGGACUGCUCCGCUUGCUCCGUCCAGAUGAACUUCUUCUUCUUGGAGCUGAGCGUGUCGGUAAUGGCCGCCGUCUGCAUCGCGAACCCCUUGAUGAACUUGCGGUAAAAGUUGGCGAAACCGACAAACCGCUGGACCUCCUUCCGAUUGCGCGGGCUCUUCCAGUCCAACACUGAGCGAACCUUGGCGCUGUCCAUGGCGAGCCCCUUGUCCGACAACUUGUAGCCCAGGAAAUCUACCUCCUUCAUGUCGAACUGGCACUUCUCCAGCUUGGCGUACAGCCUGUGCUCCUGCAGUCUCUGCAGAACUUCCUUGACGUCUCCCUCGUGGGUCUCCUCUGAUUCUGAAAAUAUCAGGAUGUCGUCCAGGAAGCAGACGCAUUUCUUGUAGAGGAGACCCGCCAAUACGUGAUGCAUGAAGGCUUGAAAACAGUGGGAGCCAUUUUGUAAUCCAAAGGGCAUAACUCUGUAUUCAUAGGUGCCCAGGGGCGUGAACAUGGCAGUCUUCCAUUCGUCGCCCUCCCGUAUGCGAAUCAGGUUGUACGCCCUCGCAGAUCCAACUUUGUGAAAACGCGUCCUUUCCUCACCGUUGCGAGCAGGUCAUCUAUCUUGGGCAUGGGAAAGGCUGUGGGCUUGGUUUUCGAGUUCAAAAUUCUAUAGUCCACCACAAGCCUUUUUGGGGCGUGUCCUUCUUCUUCACAAAGAAUACAGGACUGCCCCCACUGCCUUCGACUCCUGGAUGAAACCGCGCUUCAAGUUGAGGUCUAUGAACUCCCUGAGUUCCUGCAGCUCGUCUUCAGACAUGGAAUACAGUUUCCCGGUUGGCAGCGCGCCCUGGCAGGAGGUCAAUCUUGCAGUCAUAGGACCUGUGGGGAGGUAGCUUGUCCGCUUCCUUCUCGCAGAAAACCUCCAAAAACGCUGCGUACUUGAGUGGCACUGCUUGCAGCGUGCCUAAUUGUAGCUGCGGGUCAUCCUCUUCCCCUUCCGGGCUAGGCAGAAUGCAAUGUUCCGCACAGUAUGAGGAGCCGAAGGUCAGUUGUCGCUGGUACCACGCCAAUGCUGGGCUGUGCCUGUGCAGCCAACUCAUGCCUAAUACUAUAGGCGUGUCCGACAGUUGGGUGACAUUGAAGCUGAUGACUUCUCGGUGAUUCCCAAUUUGCAUCACCAUCGGAGGCGUUUGCUGCACCACCUGCCCCCCCAGCAAUUCCCUGCCAUCCACCGUGACAACUUUCAGAGGCAGCGUGGCUGGCAGGAGUGCUAUGUUGUGCUCUUGAAUGAAAUCCAGUCCUAUGAAGUCUGCGUUACUACCAGAGUCAAUGGUAAUCGGCACUUCCAUAGUGAGUCCAUUGGGUAGUUGGAGCGAUGCUGUGAGCUGCACCACUGGUUUGGGCGGGAGGGGGUCUGUGGGCUGCAAAAUCUCUGGGGACGGCUUCAUUGACUUGUCUGGCUGGGCCCCAGUGCCUCUUCCUCCAACCAGACUCUGUCGUUUCCCUGCUGUGGUUCUCUCUGCUGAGUUGCGUCUGUUACUGUUGCUGAGGCUGCAGUGUGCUUGUGGAGCCUCUGGGGACACUCUUUCGCCAUGUGCUGAGCACUGUCGCAGAUGUAGCACUUCCUGUCCCUCUAGGAGGCUUCGCUUUGACUGCUCCCGGUGUUAGGGCUCUGGUUGCUGACUGAGCCCUGGCGCCUCCAAUCUCCAUCGGUUGCUCCCCCUCCUUGCGGAGGUGGGGAUUGCACACGCGCUGCAUCCUUGGGAAAGAGGGGAGGUGCUCUCACUGGCGUACGUCCCCAACGUCCUUCUUCUCUGUUCCAUGGACGUUCUUCCAGACGCACCCCAAUUUGCAGCGCCCGCCGGACAACCUCCUGAGUGCUCUUUGGUCUCUCCCCUUGCAAUCUCAUCUUUCACAUUUGCAUUCAAGCCUUCCCAAAAAGGUCUCUGGCUGGGGCAGAAUCCUUCUCCCAUCCCAGCGCAUGGACUAAUGCAAAAAGCGGGAAUGGUACUGCCUUACACUGGCUCUGCCUUGUUUGAGCCCAUGUAUGUCUUUUCUGGCGAUAUCAAUGUCUAUAUUUGAUAAAAACACGAAUCCAUCGCUUUAAUGAAUGCAUCCGCAUUUUGGAGCGCCGGAUCCUUAUCUCUCCACAGAUUGCGCAGCCACGCUUUAGCUUCCCCAUGCAAAUGGGACAAGAUAAACCCCACCUUCUCUUGCUCAUCUCUAAAGUCUUUAUCCAGCAGUUCCAGCGCAAACAGCACGUCUGCUCGGAAGUUAGGGUACUGCUGCAAAUUCCCAUCGAAAUGAGAUACCAGGCUGCCUCCUCUUUCCCCAGCCCAAUCCCCUCUGAUUUGGGUCCCGGUUGCCCCUGCUUAGCAAGCACUUCCAACCUGGCUUGGAGAUCCCUGCAGGCGGCAGCCGCUUCCUCUUCCCUUUUCCUGGAUGCGAGUACCUCCGCGUUGAGUUGUGUCACUGCAUUUUGCAGGGCUGCUAGUUGCUGUUCUGUAGUCAUCUUGCCUGACUUUUGUGAGCUCGCGAAGCACCAAUCUUCUCCCUCGCUGCGUCCACUCACGUUACGAGGUUUUUGGUGCAAAACUUUUAGAGAUGGAGCUUACUGUCAGAGCUGGCUCCAGGUCCCAGCUCACAGAGGACCAACGCUAGCCGGCAGUAAUGUACAAAAGUCUUUAUUGAAGUACAGUUUCCAUUUUCAAGCCGCAGCGCCCCAGCUCUACGUCUAGGGGUUAGAUCGGCGAAGCUCCAUCUGAGUCUCCGCCCCUGUACACCAGUUUAAGAUUCUAGCCUUACUCCACCUCUUACGUCUCUCCUUUCUCCUCUGGGUCCUGCUACCCCCCGGGGUCCCUUCCUUCCUGGAUUCUUCUGACGCUGACGUUGACCCCCUGACUCCUCCCCUCUUUUCGGCGGGCUUUGGGACCUGGCUCCCUAUCCGGGCUGCCAACUGCGCCGCCCUCCUGUACAUUUGAACUUGGCGCGCGCGCCCAGCCUUCAACCUUCCUCUCGACCGUUUCCUCGCUCCCCGAUGGAGGCGUGGCCAAUCCUGACUCAGGUCCUCCCCCUGGCAGUGCGCCGCCUGAUCCCGAUGCCUGGGACCCCUCCCCCCUCCGGCACGCUGGUGUGGACGCUGGUCCUGAUUUCCAACUGCUGCUCUCUGAGUCCCCUCUGGCCCCUUCUUCCUGGGGUGUCCCCCUCGGCACCCCCCUUGCUCUGACCAAGGGAGCCCCUUUCUGUGAAUCUUCCGAUUCGCUGGAAAGACUCAGAGACCUCGGACCGCUGUCAUCGCUAACAUUUCCUUCGGACUCCUCCCCCUCGCUCUCUAUUUCCUCCCUUUCCUGUGCCUCUGCUCCUGAACCCCUGACAUCAUGUUUUUAAUAUUCUGCUGGGAGCUGCCCAGAGUGGCUUGGGAAACCCAGCCAGAUGAGUGGGGUAUAAAUAAUAAAUCAUUAUUAUUAUUAUUAUUAUUAUUAUUAUUAUUCCAUCCACUGGCGCAAGCUGACCUGCCUUUUUCUUGUCUGCAGCUCCUGUCAAACUGUAGGAAUUCAAGCCAAAAUAAUCCAGUAACUUCCUCAUAUCCUUAUCUCGGAUUGUAACCGUAUUGGAUUUGGAAAUUGUUUCUAUAUAUGAAAUAUAUAAGGGUCUGGAAACCAAGCCUUACGAGGAGCGUUUGAAGGAGCUGGUCAUGUUUAGCCUGCAAAAGAGGAGACUGAGAGCUGAUACGAUAGCCAUCUUCAAAUACCUGAAGGGCUGUCACAUGGAAGAGAGAACAGGCUUGUUUUCUCCUGCUCUGCAGGGUAGGAUUCGAACCAAUGGCUUCAAGUUCCAAGAAAGGAGAUUCCAACUAAACAUGGUCGGACAAACGCCGGCUCCCUCGUCCUGAAAGCGAGAUGAGCGCCACAACCCCAUAGUCGCCUUUGAUUGGACUCAACUGUCCAGGGGUCCUUUACCUUUACCUUUUCCUCUUUUGCCCAACAUAGAAGCCAACUUCUAGGGGCCAUGGGGGCUUUGACUCCCAUAAGAAAAUAUUUGAGAGGGCCAGGCCCCCACAAAGUUGAUGGGCGUUCCCAUUCAAAUGGUGUGCAUGCACUGCGUCAUGUGAUUGAUUAUGUGGGGCAGGGCUUACUUGGGUCCCCACAAUAUUUUAUUCAAGUUGGCACCGCUGUUGCGGCUCAAACCCACAACCCUCAGAUUAAGAGUCUCGUGCUCUACCACCUGAACUGCUCUUUAUCGCUGCUGCAUUUUGAAUCACUUUGAGAUGUUGCAUAGGAAACAAUCCAUUUGUGGAAUUGAAUAAAAAUAAAUAAAAUAGCAAUUCCCAAUAAGCAAUUCAGACCGGAGCAUGAAGGAAUUCCCAACAGUUUAAAGAGCCAGUUUCUGCGUCAAGUGGAGCCCACCAAAUCAGUUACAGACAUUGCCCUGUAUACCAGCCCAGCCCCGUGCUUUGAGAACAAUGCUUUCCUGAAAACAUUUAUAUAUUUGUUCAUCCAUUCAUUUGAUUUAUUGGACAUGUAAGAAGAGGAGGCUUGCAAAAUUCCGAAAGCCUAAAGCAUGACGGAAAACCAGGGGAGAAAAAAAAAUGCAAAUAAAAGCCAUGCAGUAACCUCUAAAACAAAGCCAGUAAAAUAGUGGAAAACUCCAGCAGCAAAAACGUACCAUCGACAAACAGCAAAAUCAUCAUAAUCCAUCUAACGCCUGGGUGAAGAGAUAAGUCUCCACCUGGUGCCAAAAGGAUGUUAAUGAUGGUGCCAGGAGGACAAAAUUAUUAUAACAAUAUCAGGCUGGUGUACUUUGUUCUAAGCGCAUUGUAAGGAUCUGGGAGUAUUUCGACGGAGCUACACUCCUGAGAAAAAAGCAGGGCAUAUUGUGAGAUUUGGCUAGAUGAAGACAUUAUCUCAUGGGGAGAAAAUGGGUGUUCGGAUUAACCUCUCAUGCGUUCAAAAC
rnacentral:lncRNA from 1 species